ensembl:lncRNA
GGGCAGUGUAUAGACAGUGUACAGACAGAGUACAGACAGUGUAGAGACAGAGUACAGACAAUGUACAGACAAUGUACAGACAGUGUAGAGACAGAGUACAGACAGAGUACAGACAGUGUAGAGACAGUGUACGGACAAUGUACAGACAGUGUAGAGACAGAGUACAGACAGAGUACAGACAGUGUAGAGAGAGUACAGACAGAGUACAGACAGUGUACGGACAGAGUACAGACAGUGUAGAGACAGUGUACAGACAGAGUACAGACAAUGUACAGACAUUACAGACAGAGUACAGACAGUGUACGGACAGAGUACAGACAGAGUACAGACAGUGUACGGACAGAGUACAGACAGUGUAGAGACAGUGUACAGACAGAGUACAGACAGAGUACAGACAGAGUACAGACAGACGAGGAUGGACAGGUGAGGAAUUGAGACGUUCUGUAUGGUGUCAGAAAUCCUGCUGAGAUUUCUCUCGUCUCACUGUUAUUGCUUCAUGCAUUAAACUUUAACACAUUUUCUAGGAUUCACCGGAACAUUUGGAGUCCCACAGCGAAUCCA